rnacentral:rRNA from 1 species
UACGUAGGGUGCAAGCGUUGUCCGGAUUUAUUGGGUUUAAAGGGUGCGUAGGCGGCCUGAUCAGUCAGUGGUUAAAGACUGCGGCUCAACCGUAGCACGCCAUUGAUACUGUCAGGCUUGAGUUCGACAGAGGAAACUGGAAUGUGUGGUGUAGCGGUGAAAUGCAUAGAUAUCACACAGAACACCGAUUGCGAAGGCAUGUUUCUAUGUCGAUACUGACGCUAAGGCACGAAAGCGUGGGGAGCGAACAGG